CGAAAUGCGAUAAGUAAUGUGAAUUGCAGAAUUCAGUGAAUCAUCGAAUCUUUGAACGCACCUUGCGCUCCUUGGUAUUCCUUGGAGCAUGCCUGUUUGAGUAUCAUGAAAUCUUCAAAGUAAAUCUUUUGUUAACUCAAUUGGUUUCUACUUUGGUAUUGGAGGUCUUUGCAGCUUCACACCUGCUCCUCUUGUUCAUUAGCUGGAUCUCAGUGUUAUGCUUGGUUCCACUCGGCGUGAUAAGUUAUCUAUCGCUGAGGACACUGUAAAAGGUGGCCAAGGUAAAUGCAGAUGAACCGCUUCUAAUAGUCCAUUGACUUGGACAAUACUUUUAUGAUCUGAUCUCAAAUCAGGUAGGACUACCCGCUGAACUUAAGC
rnacentral:misc_RNA from 1 species